rnacentral:lncRNA from 1 species
GAUAAACAGUUAACAUUUGUUAGGUUAACGUAUGGAUAAAGUGGUUAUUUAGGAGUGAUUGAUAAAAAGUGGAUAGCCUGUAGCAAACAUAAUGGACAUCAAGUGAAAUCAAGUAAUAUAAAAGUAGAGACUUAUAAAAAGUUGAAAUUAUUUGCUAAAAGUGAGGGAAAGAUCCAUACCCUGAUAGUUCAAUUGUUUGAAAACACAAAUGUUUUACUUUUUAACGAUCACACAGCUGAAAUCAGUUCAUUUGGCACAUGACAGUAGGUGUCAACUUGGGAACCCGAGUUCCUCUGACAUGGGCGAACGUCAGACAACAAAGUUCACUGCCAUAGAAUACUUGAAUUGGAACCAUCUUUAUUUGUUUGGAAACAGCCUCCCUUGCCAAAUUGUGCUCUUAUCAUAGACAUCCCAGAAGCUUCCAGAAAACAAGCCAACCUGCCAGCACGCCUCACUCCCUCCACUACCCAUAAUCCUUAUCUGCAAAGUAAAUACGGGCUCCCUAACUGUCUGGAGGGGUUUUGUCUCUUUCUGCACUAAGCUCUGUCUGCCAACCAUCCUAAAAGCAUGGUCAGGGGGAAGGAGAGGGAGGUUGAGAAGGGUAUCGGAGGCCAAAUGCGUCUCUUCCACAAGACAAACGCAAAGCAAGGAAAAAAGUUACGGAAAAAUCCACUGUCAGCCCAGCACCUGCCCAGCACCAGAUUGCGGACAGACAAAGGGACGAGCUACCGAUGAAGGUCAAAUGUCAAGAGCAACAAUUUUUUUCUCAGGAGUUUUUCUCAGAAAGCUAGGGAACAUUGGACUAAAAGGAAUAGUUGGUGGUUGGUAAAUACACAAUUUGCCUUUUUUGCCAAAAGUUAGAUG